GACGAACCGUGCAAACGUUGUUCGGAAUCACUGGGCUUAAAGGGCGCGUAGGCGGGCCAGCCAGUCUGUGGUGAAAGCCUCCAGCUUAACUGGAGAAGUGCCGUGGAUACUGCUGGCCUCGAGGAGGAUAGGGGCAUCUGGAACGGUCGGUGGAGCGGUGAAAUGCGCAGAUAUCAGGAGGAACACCGGUGGCGAAGGCGGGUCUCUGGGCCGUAACUGACGCUGAGGUGCGAAAGCGUGGGGAGCAAACAGG
rnacentral:rRNA from 1 species